rnacentral:rRNA from 1 species
UACAGAGGGUGCAAGCGUUAAUCGAAGUUACUGGGCGUAAAGCGUGCGUAGGCGGAUAUUCAAGUCGGGUGUGAAAGCCCUGGGCUUAACCUAGGAAUUGCAUUCGAUACUGGGUAUCUAGAGUAUGAUAGAGGAAAGUGGAAUUUCCGGUGUAGCGGUGAAAUGCGUAGAUAUCGGAAAGAACACCAGCGGCGAAGGCGACUUUCUGGAUCAAUACUGACGCUGAGGUACGAAAGCGUGGGGAGCAAACAGGAUUAGAUACCCUCGUA